UACGUAGGGGGCAAGCGUUGUCCGGAAUCAUUGGGCGUAAAGAGCGUGUAGGCGGUUCGGUAAGUCGGCUGUGAAAGUCCAGGGCUCAACCCUGGGAUGCCGGUCGAUACUGCCGGACUAGAGUUCGGAAGAGGCGAGUGGAAUUCCCGGUGUAGCGGUGAAAUGCGCAGAUAUCGGGAGGAACACCUAUGGCGAAGGCAGCUCGCUGGGACGUUACUGGCGCUGAGACGCGAAAGCGUGGGGAGCAAACGGG
rnacentral:rRNA from 1 species